CUCCUUCUCAUUCUGGCAGCCAGGUCAGACUGCGGCUCAUUAGCAGAGAACGCGUGGCGUGUGACGUCAGUCAGGUGAAUUCCCGAGACACACGGGAGCACAAUAAAGAACGUAACAAUGUAGGAACUUGGAGGGGGAACAGGUACAAACUGGAGCCACCUGCCACAGGAUGUUGCCGGAGGAUUCAUUUCCCGGAAGAUCCAGAUUGACGUGGCUUCAUACAAGCCACAUCAGUCUGGUUGAUUUUUUUCCAGGGGAACGCUUUGCACCCAUUUUGAGAUAGUUAUUUUCAAUAAUCUGCUCAUAUUCUAGUGUAAGCAAAUGUGGUUAUGACUCCAAUAAAUAAUAUAUCCCCUACUCUGUAGAUAUUAUUUGAUUGGUUAUAAGUAUGUGCUUAAUCAUGUGUAUUUAUAUAAUGUUUUUAGAGAAAUGUAUAAAAUAAAAUAAAAUAAUCCAUAAAAAUAGA